CAGCAGCCGCGGUAAAACGUAGGUGGCAAGCGUUGUCCGGAAUUAUUGGGCGCAAAGGGCUCGCAGGCGGUUUCUUAAGUCUGAUGUGGAAGCCCCCGGCUCAACCGGGGAGGGUCAUUGGAAACUGGGAAACUUGAGUGCAGAAGAGGAGAGUGGAAUUCCACGUGUAGCGGUGAGAUGCGUAGAGAUGUGGAGUAACGCCAGUGGCGAAGGCGACUCUCUGGUCUGUAACUGACGCUGAGGAGCGAAAGCGUGGGGAGCGAACAGGAUUAGAUACCCCUGUAGUCCCUGUCUCUUAUAC
rnacentral:rRNA from 1 species